AUGGCAAGCAACAAGAGGAGGAAGGUUGUGGCCGCGUCGCUUAUGCCGCCGUUAGCCGAGUCGCUGCUGCUGCCGCCGGAUGAGCUGAUGACGGAGGUGUUCCUGCGGCUGCCCGUGAAAUCCAUCCUCCGCCUCCGGGCCGUCUGCCGCUCCUGGGCCGCGCUGCUCUCCUCCGACGAGUUCUGCAGCCUCCACAGGGCCAAGGUCGAGGCCGAGCCAGCAGCGCCACCAAAGCUGCUAUUCAUCUCGCCGGCUGCGAGCUUCGACUCCACGGGGAUUUACUCGUGCUCGCCAUCAGGUGAUGGCCUACUGUUCAGUCUCCGCGACGUGCGUGGUGACCAUGUGGACAUGACGCCUGCGCCGUGCCGCGGCCUCACCCUCUUGCAUGACGCCGUGGAGCCAGCCUACUAUGUUUUCAAUGCCACCACACGGGCCAUCACCCGGCUGCCGCCUUGCCAAGACUCCUUCAUGGCCACUGCUGGUCUCGGAUUCGAUUCCAGGAGGAGUGAGUACAAGGUAGUGAGGUUGUUUUUCGAAAAACACUUCGGGGUUGAUAAUAUCAAGUGCGAGGUGUAUGUCCUUGGUGGCGAGCAUGGGGAUCGCUGGAUGCCUGCUGCUGGUGGUGUGCCCUUUAGGUUCCGCAAGUUUGCCGCUGCUGCGAUAAUGGCAACACAGAGUGAAGCUAAGCUGAUGCCAGUGUUUGCAGACGGAUUUCUGCAUUGGGUUAUAGACUAG
rnacentral:rRNA from 1 species